rnacentral:rRNA from 1 species
UAAUACGUAGGGGGCAAGCGUUGUCCGGAAUUAUUGGGCGUAAAGCGCGCGCAGGCGGUCUUUUAAGUCUGGUGUCUAAGUGCGGGGCUCAACCCCGUGAUGCACUGGAAACUGGGAGACUUGAGUGCAGAAGAGGAGAGCGGAAUUCCACGUGUAGCGGUGAAAUGCGUAGAGAUGUGGAGGAACACCAGUGGCGAAGGCGGCUCUCUGGCCUGUAACUGACGCUGAGGCGCGAAAGCGUGGGGAGCAAACAGGAUUAGAUACCCUGGUAGUCCACGCCGUAAACGAUGAGUGCUAGGUGUCGGAGGGGUCCACCCUGCGGUGCCGAAGUAAACACAUUAAGCACUCCGCCUGGGGAGUACGGUCGCAAGACUGAAACUUAAAUGAAUUGACGG